rnacentral:rRNA from 1 species
UGGAGCAUGUGGUUUAAUUCGAAGCAACGCGAAGAACCUUACCUAGGCUUGACAUCCCUUUGUAAAUUCCUUAAUCGGGAACCUCCCUUCGGGACAAAGGUGACAGGUGGUGCAUGGUUGUCGUCAGCCCGUGUCGUGAGAUGUUGGGUUAAGUCCCGCAACGAGCGCAACCCUCGCCUUUAGUUGCCAGCAUUCAGUUGGGCACUCUAAGAGGGACUGCCGGUGUCAAACCGGAGGAAGGUGGGAUGACGUCAAGUCCUCAUGGCCUUUAUGUCUAGGGCUACACACGUACUACAAUGGCCGGUACAAAGGGCAGCCACUCAGCGAUGAGGCGCUAAUCCCAUAAAGCCGGUCUCAGUCCGGAUCGCAGUCUGCAACUCGACUGCGUGAAGUUGGAAUCGCUAGUAAUCGUAGAUCAGCAUGCUACGGUGAAUACGUUCCCGGGCCUU